GAUAAAAUGGCUGAGGUAUAGGUAGUAGAUUGUAAAUCUAUUAAGGAGAUUGUUUCUCUUUUAUCA
rnacentral:tRNA from 1 species